UUCAAAGCCGGUUCACAAGACAGCAACUUACAUUGUUUAUGAAAACUGCCUGCUACAGCUCUUUGAGCAGUGCCCUAUGUGUCAACGUGUUACCAAUGUACGGAGAACAGUAUUUGGCACAUUCCUCUUUGUGGAACAACGCUGCCCACAUUGCCCACAUUCUAUUCCAUUUUCUGACUUCUUCAGAAAAUGGAAUAGUCAGCCAAUUAUACAAAGCACUCCUGCAGGGAACCUCCAGCUUUCUGUUGCAGUGUAUGCCAAUGGUGCGUCUUUCUUCAAAGUUAAACAGAUAUUCCAGGCAAUGACACUGAAAAUAUCGACUACACCACCUUUCGAAUUCAUGCCCGGAGGUACAUACAGCCUGCAAUUGUACAUAGCUGGAAGACAGCACAGGAUGGCAUGUUGCAGCAGCUCAGACAGCAGCAGAACAUUGUCCUAGGUGGAGACAUGAGGGCAGAUUCACCAGGUACUAAAUGCUGAAAAACUGU